rnacentral:tRNA from 1 species
GCCCUGCUGGCUCAGUCGGUAGAGUAUGUGACUCUUGAUCUCGGGGUUGUGAGUUCCAGCCCCACGUUGGGGG